rnacentral:sRNA from 1 species
AAAAGAGCAACAAACCAAGAAGACUAUGA